rnacentral:rRNA from 1 species
UACGUAGGGUGCGAGCGUUGCCCGGAUUUAUUGGGCGUAAAGGGCGCGUAGGCGGUGAGAUGCGUCCGUUGUGAAAUCGCCCGGCUCAACUGGGCGGGGUCAGCGGAUACGGUCUCACUCGAGCAAGCUAGGGGGCAAUGGAAUUCCCGGUGUAGUGGUGGAAUGCGUAGAUAUCGGGAGGAACACCAGUGGCGAAGGCGGGUCUCUGGGCCGAUACUGACGCUGAGGAGCGAAAGCGUGGGGAGCGAACAGGA